rnacentral:misc_RNA from 1 species
UAGAAGAACGCAGCGAAAUGCGAUAAGUAAUGUGAAUUGCAGAAUUCAGUGAAUCAUCGAAUCUUUGAACGCACAUUGCGCCCGCUAGUAUUCUGGCGGGCAUGCCUGUCCGAGCGUCAUUUCAACCCUCAAGCCCCCGGGCUUGGUGUUGGGGAUCGGCGAGCCUCCGCGCCCGCCGUCCCCUAAAUCUAGUGGCGGUCUCGCUGUAGCUUCCUCUGCGUAGUAGCACACCUCGCACUGGGAAACAGCGCGGCCACGCCGUUAAACCCCCAACUUCUGAACGUUUGACCUCGGAUCAGGUAGGAAUACCCGCUGAACUUAAGCAUAUCAAUAAGCGGAGGA